CCUACGGGCGGCAGCAGUGGGGAAUAUUGCACAAUGGGCGCAAGCCUGAUGCAGCCAUGCCGCGUGUGUGAAGAAGGCCUUCGGGUUGUAAAGCACUUUCAGCGGGGAGGAAGGCGUUAAGGUUAAUAACCUUGUCGAUUGACGUUACCCGCAGAAGAAGCACCGGCUAACUCCGUGCCAGCAGCCGCGGUAAUACGGAGGGUGCAAGCGUUAAUCGGAAUUACUGGGCAUAAAGCGCACGCAGGCGGUCUGUCAAGUCGGAUGUGAAAUCCCCGGGCUCAACCUGGGAACUGCAUUCGAAACUGGCAGGCUAGAGUCUUGUAGAGGGGGGUAGAAUUCCAGGUGUAGCGGUGAAAUGCGUAGAGAUCUGGAGGAAUACCGGUGGCGAAGGCGGCCCCCUGGACAAAGACUGACGCUCAGGUGCGAAAGCGUGGGGGGCAAACAGGAUUAGAUACCCUAGUAGUC
rnacentral:rRNA from 1 species